rnacentral:rRNA from 1 species
AGUAACACGUGAGCAACCUGCMCUUCUCUUUGGGAUAACCAGUGGAAACGCUGGCUAAUACCGAAUAUGACCGCCUUGGGCAUCCGGGGUGGUGGAAAGUUCCGGCGGAGAAGGAUGGGCUCGCGGCCUAUCAGCUUGUUGGUGAGGUAAUGGCUCACCAAGGCGACGACGGGUAGCCGGCCUGAGAGGGUGACCGGCCACACUGGGACUGAGACACGGCCCAGACUCCUACGGGAGGCAGCAGUGGGGAAUAUUGGACAAUGGGCGAAAGCCUGAUCCAGCAACGCCGCGUGAGGGAUGACGGCCUUCGGGUUGUAAACCUCUUUCAGCACCGACGAAGCGAAAGUGACGGUAGGUGCAGAAGAAGGACCGGCCAACUACGUGCCAGCAGCCGCGGUAAUACGUAGGGUCCGAGCGUUGUCCGGAAUUAUUGGGCGUAAAGGGCUCGUAGGCGGUCUGUCGCGUCGGGAGUGAAAACUCGGGGCUUAACCCCGAGCGUGCUUCCGAUACGGGCAGACUAGAGGGAUGCAGGGGAGAAUGGAAUUCCUGGUGUAGCGGUGGAAUGCGCAGAUAUCAGGAGGAACACCGGUGGCGAAGGCGGUUCUCUGGGCAUUUCCUGACGCUG